UUCAGUUUGUUAAUUGCAAGUUGGAAGAGAUUCUAUAGGCAGCAGAAAAUAGCGUGGCAGGUCUUAAACAUCUCACUUUUAAGAGAACUUGGUCAUAAUUUUAUCUUGGGCUGAACAAAAGCCAGACGUCUUUGAAAAGUACAAUAGCAGCCAGUAAGCUCACCUAAGGCUCACAAGUAGAGUGCAGAUGGCAAGCUGUGAUUGCAUAAGAUAGUAAAAUUAAACUGACUUCUUUGCUGGGUUCUUCCUGUGGCAAUGAGUACUGAAUGAUUCCCAGUGUAAUCACAAGCACUUUACUAGCAGACAAACAAAUGGAGACUGCGUGUGCAAAUACUUGUUUAGAAAAGAAGGAAAAAAAAGCUGAAACAGUGACAACAACAACAACACAACUAGGCAGGCAGUGAAAGCUGAAAUGCUCUGUGCAGCCUUGGGAGCUGUUCCUGUUCUCAGCACCCUCUCACCCUGUCUGGCCAUCUUCUUUUAUCAAGCAGGUAAAACCUUUUGAGUCCCUGUAGGUGAGGGAGGAUUUGUGGUAGCAAGGGUAAUGGGAGGACGGUUGGACAGGAUGUUCUUGUAGGUCCUUUCCAACCUUGUGAUUCUAUGAUUCCGUGAUUUCUGCUUGUAGCAAGCCAUAAAAUAAUUGUUGAAAUAAGGUUUGAAAACCAAAACACUGCGGGUUAAAUCUCACUGGUAAGAGUGUUUUGUUGUCCAUAUAACACUGUAGUUCCCUCCCCAGUUUAACCUCUUUACGUGAACGUGCUCAUUGGAAAGUUGCCUAUCUAGAAUUUUUCGUCUGGUUACAAUUCAGUCUUUCCUUUCUUAAGAACAUCCAUGAUACUUGAUUAACGUUCAAUCCUAGCAUUUCGGGCAAAUCUGCUUUGUAAAGCCCUGUGUGAAAUAAGAAUGUUAGAAGAAGGCAGGUCUAUUUGAGAAGGCAACUUGAAAGCAGUGACUUAUUUUAUUUGAAGAAGAGAUAAAUGUGUGUGUGCAUGCAUUUGCGUUCAGCGGUUUUAUAGCUAGAACUGUUACUGAUGCCCAACAGCAACUUCAUCUUGUUAAGAUUUGUUUUAUAAAGAUGUAAUGAUUCUCAAGAGAGUUUUAUGAAAACAUGCAGAGUUGGUUUGCAUUAGUUACGCAAUUAUGUGCCCAGUACAUAUGCUGCAACUUAUUUUCUUAAAUACAUAUUGUGUAACACUUUUUAUUCCUGAGUGCUGGUCUCCAUAAAGAAUAGAGAGGGUGGCAUCAUGUGCUCUUCUGCACUAUGUGGUCUUUCAUCAUUUUAGGAAUUCUUCUGAGGGAUCUUUAUUGUCACUGUUUUAACUUCAGAAUAUUCUCUCAAUCCGCUUUCACCCAUCUCUCUACCAUUGCCAGACAUUUUGAAUCCUCCAAAAGGACUCUGGGCAUUUAAGGCGUUGUAGCAAUUUAUCCAGACUGUCCCAGCCUGCAUUGCUGAAGAGACUGUCAGGGCCUUGUUUAUGUCAUUUGUAAAGACAGCAGCUACCAGCCCAAAGUCAGAAUUGUUGGCUCUCUCUAUGACUUCAUCCACCGUUUUAAAUCUCAGUAUUUCUUGAACAGGCCCAAAAAUCUCCUCCUUGGCAAUCCGCAUGUCAUCUGUUACAUUGGAAAACACUGUAGGUUCAAUGAAGAAGCCCUUUCUUCCUAGCCCUUUACCCCCACAUUCAAGUUUUGCUCCUUCAGUAAUGCCGCUCUGAAUCAGUUCCAAGAUCUUGUUGUAUUGUUUUUUAUCAAUCUGUGGCCCUUGUUCUGUAGUUGGGUCAAAAGGACUCCCUACUACUCUCCUCUUUGCACGUUCUACACUUCUUCUAACAAACUCUUCAUAGAUUGAUUCUUCCACGUAAAUCCUUGAGCCUGCAGUGCAGCAUUGACCUUGAUUGAAGAAGACCCCCUGGUGAGCUUGUUCCACAGCAUAAUCCAAAUCAGCAUCUGCAAAAAUGAUGUUUGGGCUUUUCCCACCCAGCUCCAGUGUAACUCUCUUCAAGUUACUCCUUCCAGCUGCUUCUUGGAUCAGCUUCCCAACCUCAGUGGAUCCAGUAAACGCAAUUUUAUCAAUGCCCACAUGAGAUGCUAUUGCUGCAC
rnacentral:lncRNA from 1 species